rnacentral:rRNA from 1 species
ACAGCAGUAGCCGCGGGAAUACGUAGGGUGCAAGCGUUAAUCGGAAUUACUGGGCGUAAAGCGUGCGCAGGCGGUUUUGUAAGACAGAGGUGAAAUCCCCGGGCUCAACCUGGGAACUGCAUUUGUGACUGUAUAGCUAGAGUACGGCAGAGGGGGAUGGAAUUCCGCGUGUAGCAGUGAAAUGCGUAGAUAUGCGGAGGAACACCGAUGGCGAAGGCAAUCCCCUGGGCCUGUACUGACGCUCAUGCACGAAAGCGUGGGGAGCAAACAGGAUUAGAUACCCCCGUAGUCCCUGUCUCUUAUAC